GACAGAGGGUGCGAACGUUGUUCGGAAUUACUGGGCGUAAAGCGCGUGUAGGCGGCAGCGCAAGUCGGGCGUGAAAUCCCACGGCUCAACCGUGGAAGUGCACUCGAAACUGCGCAGCUAGAGUCCUGGAGAGGAAGGUGGAAUGCUUGGUGUAGAGGUGAAAUUCGUAGAUAUCAAGCGGAACACCGGUGGCGAAGGCGACCUUCUGGACAGUGGACUGACGCUGAGACGCGAAAGCGUGGGGAGCAAACAGGGAUAAGAAACCCCGGUGAGUCCCAGAACCAACGUACUCG
rnacentral:rRNA from 1 species